AACUUGCUAUAUAUCUUCUGUCGGCUUCGUUCUGAAUCGUGAGAAGCGAUAUUCGACUAAACGAAAAUCAAAAUGGAGAUUGGCAUUUUAAGUACUUCAGGGGGAAAACAGCUGGCAACUUUAACGGUUGACCCAAAUUCAACACUAUAGGAGCUGA